UACGAGGGGGGCAAGCGUUGUUCGGAAUUAUUGGGCGUAAAGGGCGCGUAGGCGGUUUGACAAGUCUGAUGUGAAAUCUAUGGGCUCAACCCAUAGCCUGCAUUAGAAACUGUCGGGCUUGAGUAUGGGAGAGGUGAGUGGAAUUUCCGGUGUAGCGGUGAAAUGCGUAGAUAUCGGAUGGAACACCUGUGGCGAAAGCGGCUCACUGGACCAUAACUGACGCUGAGGCGCGAAAGCUAGGGGAGCAAACAGG
rnacentral:rRNA from 1 species